rnacentral:rRNA from 1 species
GAUGAACGCUGGCGGCAUGCCUAACACAUGCAAGUCGAUCGGUAAGGCUCUUCGGAGUCCAUGAGAGGCGGACGGCUGAGUAACGCGUAGGAACACACCCUGCAGUGAGGGAUAAGACACCGAAAGGUGUUCUAAUACCGCAUACGGUCUUCGGAUUAAAGCAUUUAUGCGCUGAAGGAGUGGCCUGCGUCAUAUUAGAUAGUUGGUGAGGUAAUGGCUCACCAAGUCGAUGAUGUGUAGCUGGUCUGAGAGGAUGAUCAGCCAGACUGGAACUGAGACACGGUCCAGACUCCUACGGGAGGCAGCAGUGAGGAAUAUUUCACAAUGAGCGAAAGCUUGAUGGAGCAAUGCCGCGUGCAGGAUGAAGGCCCUCGGGUUGUAAACUGCUUUUAUAAGAGAAGAUUAUGACGGUAACUUAUGAAUAAGGGACGGCUAACUACGUG